GCCCAUUCAUAUUAGACUCCUACUAAUGGGUAUGUUCCCCUGUGUCACGAUUUGCUCCACAGGAGGCCAUACGGAGUUCCUUACGACUGCACUGCACCUCUGCUGUUUGAAAGUUGCCUUGUCUGGGUUAGGAGGAGAACAGAUGGGCAGCAGUGAGUGCGAUGAACAGUGUGCCUUUCUCUGAGUUCUGCCUGCCGCACAGCCAUACGUAUUAGAUGACUUUG
rnacentral:lncRNA from 1 species